rnacentral:rRNA from 1 species
UACAGGCUUAACACAUGCAAGUCGAGGGGCAGCAUGGUCUUAGCUUGCUAAGGCCGAUGGCGACCGGCGCACGGGUGAGUAACACGUAUCCAACCUGCCGUCUACUCUUGGACAGCCUUCUGAAAGGAAGAUUAAUACAAGAUGGCAUCAUGAGUCCGCAUGUUCACAUGAUUAAAGGUAUUCCGGUAGACGAUGGGGAUGCGUUCCAUUAGAUAGUAGGCGGGGUAACGGCCCACCUAGUCUUCGAUGGAUAGGGGUUCUGAGAGGAAGGUCCCCCACAUUGGAACUGAGACACGGUCCAAACUCCUACGGGAGGCAGCAGUGAGGAAUAUUGGUCAAUGGGCGAGAGCCUGAACCAGCCAAGUAGCGUGAAGGAUGACUGCCCUAUGGGUUGUAAACUUCUUUUAUAAAGGAAUAAAGUCGGGUAUGGAUACCCGUUUGCAUGUACUUUAUGAAUAAGGAUCGGCUAACUCCGUGCCAGCAGCCGCGGUAAUACGGAGGAUCCGAGCGUUAUCCGGAUUUAUUGGGUUUAAAGGGAGCGUAGAUGGAUGUUUAAGUCAGUUGUGAAAGUUUGCGGCUCAACCGUAAAAUUGCAGUUGAUACUGGAUAUCUUGAGUGCAGUUGAGGCAGGCGGAAUUCGUGGUGUAGCGGUGAAAUGCUUAGAUAUCAC